GCCAUAAGGAAGACUAUUAAAGAGGAACAUAUCUACAUCUAGACAGACAUUCUACUGAGCCCGUCUAUCCAGUGUGUUCAGUUACUUUGAAGCCCUGGGCGGCCCAACCCUGGUCCUCAACAUCCACCACUGUUUUCCUGCUUUCACUGCACCUUGUGCUGCUGAUUACCUGGUUCAGGUGUGUUCAGUUAGUUGGAAUGUGGAAACACCUGAGUCAACUGAUCAGGAACAGAAGGGAAGGGACUGGGUGGUAGAUUUUGAGGACCAGGGUUGGGUAGCUCUGCGCUACAUUAUGUACACUAAAUGGCCAAAAAUGGUUUGAACAGUUUGUCCAUUUUUGUCUUACCCGAGCUUCCUCCAAAGUCCAUGCUCUUCAGGUUUUUGGCCUCCAGGAUCACUACGCAGCACUUGAUGCAGAUGCAGAGCAGGCAGAGGAGGAUCAGAAGGCCGCCUGAUGCAAAGAUGGUGUAGAUCGCCCAUGGUGGCACUGCAGGGAUGAAGAGGGAGACAGUUACAGAGAAAUCAGACUAAAAAGAUGCUGACCAGCUCCACCCCAAUGACUCCAGCUCCAAUCACAAUGAGUUCGCCUGGCACCUUCUUCAGCGACAGAG